AUUCCUUGAGUUCUCCUGGAGAAAACCUCACAGCAGAGGAGUUUGCAAAGAGCCCAGAGCUGUGUUUGGAGCAGAGAGAGCUGAGAGCUGUGUCUGCCUGUGCUGCCCCAGCCUGGCAACAUCCCCAUGGAACAGCCUGGGCAGAUGGGAUUAGAUGGAGCAAAAUCCCUUCAUGCAAGAGGUUUUCUCCUGUGCAGAUCAGGCACGGGGCAGGCAGUGAACUUUGGAAAUCAGCUGAUUUCCCCAGAAAGCAUCACUCCCAUCAGCAUCAAUGACAGGACCUGUGCCCACUGCUCAGGAGUCACCCAGCCAAAAUCAAGGGCAAAGCUUGGUUUGGGUCUGAGAACUUGAAAUAACUUGGAAAGAGAAGAAAUGACCUUUUUCUUCUUCCUUCCUUUCAGAUGCUGGAAUUGCCUCUGUGGAUGUGCACUGAGCCCUCGCUGCAGGGAACUGCCAGGCCUUAAUGGUGGCAUCUCCGAGGGCCUUGCUUGGGAUUGAAUUUCUGCGAGGGGAAUUCCCUUGGCUUUAAGGCUGCUGCUGCUGGAGGAUGUCCCCAGGCUGGAAGGGAAGGCACUGGAGUGGCUGGGACACACCCGGUGGCUGUGUGGGAGCUCCAGGAGGUGGCACCGGGAAUCGCUGUCUGAACUCCUCUGCAAAGCCAGCGUGCAGCACUCCCAGGCAAUGGCAGCUGUUCCUUGGGCUGGUUUUGGGAUGUCAGGGGGCUCUGUCCGGGCUGCAGCCUCUCCGGGGGCCCGUUCAGAGCAGCCCCUGGCCCAGGAGCUGCGGGCAGCCCUUGAUCCGUGCCCAUCCCAGCGCUGCCCGGGCAUCCCAGUGCCUGCCCCGGGUGUGCCUGGCACGCUGCCUGCACGGGCAGGACACUGAGGCACAGCUCCUGCCCUGCAGGCACCGAGGGCAGGAGGGGCUGGUUCCCCCUGGGCUCGGCCUCCUCCCGCCCCGCGUUCCCGGCCAGCCGGGACACACAGAGGGAGCAGCGAGGAACAUUCCUGGCAGGGAGCAGGAGUCCCCGAGGGCUCCGUGCAGCUCCGGGCCGGAGAAGCAGCGCCGGGCUCAGCCCCCGCCGUGAGUUUGGGCUGUGAGCACUCAUCUGCAGGAAAGGCCCCUCUGCAGGCGGGACCAGCCCUGACACUCUCCAGAAGAGCUUGGGCCUUGGAGCAAGGGAGCCCUCAGGACUUGCUCGUUUCUCUCUGGAAAGGGACAGGGCAUCAGCACCUUUACAGCUAUUUAGGAAAUGCUGGAAAAGGCAGGAAAUCAGGAUUACGGGAAGAGUUUUGUGCUGUCACACAACCGUUCACCUGUGUUGUUCCAUGGUCAGGUGCUGCCUAUGGAGCUCUGCCCUACAGACGUUCCAGGGGCUGGUGUGUAAAGCAGCAUUGGCAAAGAAAUUGCCCUGCUGGCAUUUGGCAUUCCUGUCCCAGGCAGGGCAUUGCCAUUACCUGAGAUUGGCUUGGUUGGAGCAGGGUGCUGAAAAUGCCCAGGUUGUGGGUUCAAUCCCCAGCUGAGCCCUUCACAUAAGGCUUCAACCUGGUGCUCCUGGUGUGUCCCUUCCCACUCAGGAUAUCUGAUGACCUAAAAAUAAAGAGUAAACAGUU